CGCCACAGUCCAUACACGUGGUGUCCCAGUACCUGUGCAAACUGUGAUACCCCAUUAACUCCACUGGCGUUUAAUGCUGCAGUCCGUCCUGUGUGGCUCUAGUUAGCCGCGUACAUCUCAGCAGCGAUCCCCAGGGCAAGACGUUGCGGUGGUGAGGCGGUUGUCCGUACCUCGUUGCAGUUCUCUGUUCGACGCUGCAGUCCUUGUCAUGGGCGAGGACAUACCCCCAUAUGCAGAUACAAGAAAGCCAGUGCAACCAUAUGUGGGUUAUGCGGAGGACAGUGAGGAACUUGGAGGUGGUGGGGAUAAGAUUUCAACGGCAGAUACUCACCAAAUGGAGAUGGAUAAGACCACAGUCCAUGGUACCUCCUUCCUGGGAAGUAAGAUGAAGAAGAAGAAGAAGAAGAAGAAGAGCAAAAUGACAACGAUUAUGAUGUAAAAUUUUUACAUGAGUUAAUAAAAAUUAAUAUUAUUUGUUUCUGUUUAUAUGUCCUGCAUGGAAAAUCAAUGACGAGCCUGUCUCGUUUGGUGCAAACGAUAGAUGUUUAUUGAUAACUGUGAUUAUAAUGCUAUUUUGAAUUUAAAUGGAUGUGCUGAAAAUAAUAUAAUAAUGUAGUAAUAUAAUAAUAUAGUAAUAUAGUAAACA